AGCUCCAAUAGCGUAUAUUAAAGUUGUUGCAGUUGAAAAGCUCGUAGUUGGAUUUUGGGCGCACGUGCAGCAGCCCGUCGUGAUGAUGUGUGCAGUUGUGCUGUGUCUUUCCUUCGCAUUGCGACCCUGUGUCAUUGAUUUGAUGCGGGAGCUUCGUAUGCGAUCGUUUACUUUGAAAAAAUUAGAGUGUUCAAAGCAGGCAUUAUAUGGCCGUUGAAUAUUAUAGCAUGGGAUAAUAGAAUAGGACUUGUUUCUUAUUUUGUUGGUUUUCAAGAAAUAAGUAAUGAUUAACAGGAACAGUUGGGGAUAUUAGUAUUUACUUGUCAGAGGUGAAAUUCUGGGAUUCUGUAAAGACUAACUGCUGCGAAAGCAUUUAUCAAGGAUGUUUUCAUUAAUCAAG
rnacentral:rRNA from 1 species